rnacentral:rRNA from 1 species
UACGGGGGGGCAAGCGUUGUUCGGAAUUACGUGGCGUAAAGGGCUCGAUAGGCGGCCAACUAAGUCCGACGUGAAAUCCCAAGGCUUAACCUUGAACUGCGUCGGAUACUGGAUGGCUAGUAGUAGCGGGAGAGGAGAGUGGAAUUCCGGUGUAGCGGUGAAAUGACGCAGAUAUCGGGAAGAACACCCGUGGCGAAGGACGGCUCUCUGGAACGCAACUGACGCUGAGACGCGAAAGCGUGGGGAGCAAACGGG